rnacentral:rRNA from 1 species
UAGUCCUACGGGAGGCAGCAGUGGGGAAUAUUGCACAAUGGGGGAAACCCUGAUGCAGCGACGCCGCGUGAGUGAAGAAGUAUUUCGGUAUGUAAAGCUCUAUCAGCAGGGAAGAUAAUGACGGUACCUGAGUAAGAAGCCCCGGCUAACUACGUGCCAGCAGCCGCGGUAAUACGUAGGGGGCAAGCGUUAUCCGGAUUUACUGGGUGUAAAGGGAGCGUAGACGGCAUGGCAAGUCUGAAGUGAAAACCCGG